rnacentral:lncRNA from 1 species
CAGAUGCCCAGGUAGGGAGGAGGGUGCCCCUUGGGCCGAGUUCCCCUCUCAGUGUAUCCCAGCCCAUGCUGGGCAUCCGUGAAGCGAGGCCUGCUGGCUUGGGUGCUGGCCCUGCAGCCUCACCCCACCUCAGCCCCAGUCCUGCCCCUAGCACAGCCAGCAGUGCCCCAGGCAGAACCUGGCAGGGGAAUGGGGAGAUGACUCCCCCACUUCAAGGACCCCGUGCUCGAUUCCGGAAGAAACCCAAGGCUCUUCCCUACAGGAGGGAGAACAGUCCUGGGGACUUGCCCCCACCACCCUUGCCACCGCCAGAGGAAGAGGCGAGCUGGGCCCUAGAGCUGAGGGCAGCAGGCAGCAUGUCCUCCCUGGAGCGGGAGCGCAGUGGGGAGAGGAAAGCGGUCCAGGCCGUGCCCCUGGCAGCCCAGCGGGUGCUCCACCCAGAUGGUAAAAGAGGCCUGGCUCCCAUACAGCAGACCAAGCUUCCUGUCCCGGGGCCAGGGCACCAGCACAUGUUCCACGGCCGGCAGCAACUCUUCCAGGGGCUCCAGCAGCUCUAGGGGCUCCCGGGGCCCUGGCCGGAGCCGGAGUCGGAGUCAGAGCCGGAGCCAGAGCCAAAGGCCAGGACAGAAACGCCGAGAGGAACCAAGAUGACCCUUGUUGGGGCAUUGAGAAUAUCAUGAGUGCCACGGGGAAGGGGAGUAGGGAUGUCUUUUCCCCCCCAGCAGUGAUGAGUGGGGCUAGCUGAAGCCCAUUGGUUUCCACGAUUUCAAUUGGCUGAGAAGGCAGAGAGCUAGCUCCUCCCUUUCUUUCUUUUUCCACCUGAGACUUGUUUAUAAAAAACAAAACAAUAAAAAGAGUCUGAUCAG